AUCCUGGCUCAGGAUGAACGCUGGCGGCGUGCCUAAUACAUGCAAGUCGAGCGCGUCNNAUUAAAACAGAUCUCUUCGGAGUGACGUUUAAUGGAUCGAGCGGCGGAUGGGUGAGUAACACGUGGCCAACCUGCCUAUAAGACUGGGAUAACUUACGGAAACGUGAGCUAAUACCGGAUAAAACCUUUUGUCUCCUGACAAGAGGAUAAAAGAUGGCGCAAGCUAUCACUUAUAGAUGGGCCCGCGGCGCAUUAGCUAGUUGGUGAGAUAAAAGCUCACCAAGCCAACGAUGCGUAGCCGACCUGAGAGGGUGAUCGGCCACACUGGGACUGAGAUACGGCCCAGACUCCUACGGGAGGCAGCAGUAGGGAAUCUUCCGCAAUGGACGAAAGUCUGACGGAGCAACGCCGCGUGAACGAAGAAGGUCUUCGGAUCGUAAAGUUCUGUUGUUAGGGAAGAACACGUACCAUUCGAAUAGGGUGGUACCUUGACGGUACCUAACGAGAAAGCCCCGGCUAACUACGUGCCAGCAGCCGCGGUAAUACGUAGGGGGCAAGCGUUGUCCGGAAUUAUUGGGCGUAAAGCGCGCGCAGGCGGUUCUUUAAGUCUGAUGUGAAAUCUUGCGGCUCAACCGCAAGCGGUCAUUGGAAACUGGAGAACUUGAGGACAGAAGAGGAGAGUGGAAUUCCACGUGUAGCGGUGAAAUGCGUAGAGAUGUGGAGGAACACCAGUGGCGAAGGCGACUCUCUGGUCUGUAACUGACGCUGAGGCGCGAAAGCGUGGGUAGCGAACAGGAUUAGAUACCCUGGUAGUCCACGCCGUAAACGAUGAGUGCUAGGUGUUAGGGGGUUUCCCCCCCUUAGUGCUGGCGUUAACGCAUUAAGCACUCCNCCUGGGGAGUACGGCCGCAAGGCUGAAACUCAAAAGAAUUGACGGGGACCCGCACAAGCGGUGGAGCAUGUGGUUUAAUUCGAAGCAACGCGAAGAACCUUACCAGGUCUUGACAUCCCGCUGACCGCUAUGGAGACAUAGCUUUCCCUUCGGGGACAGCGGUGACAGGUGGUGCAUGGUUGUCGUCAGCUCGUGUCGUGAGAUGUUGGGUUAAGUCCCGCAACGAGCGCAACCCUUGAACUUAGUUGCCAGCAUUCAGUUGGGCACUCUAAGUUGACUGCCGGUGACAAACCGGAGGAAGGUUGGGAUGACGUCAAAUCAUCAUGCCCCUUAUGACCUGGGCUACACACGUGCUACAAUGGNUUGGUAGUUCGGAUUGUCGGUUGCAACUCGCCUACAUGAAGCCGGAAUCGCUAGUAAUCGCGGAUCAGAAUGCCGCGGUGAAUACGUUCCCGGGUCUUGUACACACCGUCCGUCACACCACGAGAGUUAGCAACACCCGAAGUCGGUGAGGUAACGCUUUUAGNGAGCCAGCCGCCGAAGGUGGGGCCAAUGAUUGGGGUGAAGUCGUAACAAGGUAGCCGUAUCGGAAGGUGCGGNUGGAUCACCUCCUU
rnacentral:rRNA from 2 species